rnacentral:rRNA from 1 species
UGGUGGAGCGAUUUGUCUGGUUAAUUCCGUUAACGAACGAGACCUCGACCUGCUAAAUAGCUCGGCGAAUCUUUCGGGAUUCGUACGCGCUUCUUAGAGGGACUAUCGGUGUGUAGCCGAUGGAAGUUCGAGGCAAUAACA